CCGUAGCCCAAGAGAUCGGGAUAACACCUGGAAACAGAUGCUAAUACCUGAUAACAACAGAUGAUGCCUAUCAACUGUUUAAAAGAUGGUUCUGCUAUCACUCUUGGAUGGACCUGCGGUGCAUUAGCUAGUCGGUAGGGUAACGGCCUACCAAGGCGAUGAUGCAUAGCCGAGUUGAGAGACUGAUCGGCCACAUUGGGACUGAGACACGGCCCAAACUCCUACGGGAGGCAGCAGUU
rnacentral:rRNA from 1 species